GUAAGGGAGCAAAGAUGGCAGAGAACCUGGUCUGUUCCAGCGACAACAGGCAGUUUUCAGCAAGACUUUGUGGAUUAGGAAAAUGGCUGUGGUCUUCCUCUGCCCUUCUAAAACCAACUGACAUGAGCCAGUGAAUCUUGAGGAUGGGUUCCCCUAGCCCCAGAAGGACCAUUCAGAAACCAAAGAAGCCGUAUGUUGAAGAUGAUGGAACCACAAGUUGGAAAGCGCCUGGUCCCUGAAUCAGCCUGGAGGAGAUCCAGCUGCUGGUCAGAAUCACUUGUCUGGGACUUUACUGAGCAGUAAAUAAACUUCUAGUUUAUUAUUCCA